rnacentral:ncRNA from 1 species
AAGGCCCCCAGCAGACCACUGGUUGAUAGGCCGGCGUGGAAGCGCGGCAACGCGUGGAGCUGACCGGUACUAAUUGGCCGACAACUUGCCACA